UGAGGAAUAUUGGACAAUGGAUGGAAAUCUGAUCCAGCCAUGCCGCGUGCAGGAAGACGGCCCUAUGGGUUGUAAACUGCUUUUGUAUGGGAGCAAUAAGGACUACGUGUAGUUUGAUGAGAGUACCAUACGAAUAAGGAUCGGCUAACUCCGUGCCAGCAGCCGCGGUAAUACGGAGGAUCCGAGCGUUAUCCGGAUUUAUUGGGUUUAAAGGGUGCGUAGGUGGUUUGAUAAGUCAGCGGUGAAAGUUUGCAGCUUAACUGUAAAAAUGCCGUUGAAACUGUCGGACUUGAGUGUAAAUGAGGUAGGCGGAAUGCGUGGUGUAGCGGUGAAAUGCAUAGAUAUCACGCAGAACUCCGAUUGCGAAGGCAGCUUACUAAGCUACAACUGACACUGAAGCACGAAAGCGUGGGGAUCAAACA
rnacentral:rRNA from 1 species